UACGGGGGGGGGCAAGCGUUGUUCGGAAUUACUGGGCGUAAAGGGCGCGUAGGCGGUUCGCUAAGUUGGAUGUGAAAACUCUGGGCUCAACCCAGAGCCUGCAUCCAAAACUGGCGGGCUAGAGUUCUGGAGGGGGUAGCGGAAUUCCUGGUGUAGCGGUGAAAUGCGCAGAUAUCAGGAGGAACACCGAUGGCGAAGGCAGGUCACUGGGCCGCAACUGACGCUGAGGAGCGAAGGCAUGGGGGAGCGAACAGG
rnacentral:rRNA from 1 species